rnacentral:lncRNA from 1 species
UGGGAGUCACUGAACCUCUCCGAGGUAGGAUUCCUCCGGGUGUUCCCACUGCACUGUGCCCAGAACAGGGUUCCUGUUAAAUGUCACAGUGCAGCCCUACAAUUCUGGAAAUGCUGCUCCCCUUCACAAGGCUGUGUGCUGUUCAGAAGGUGAGUCCAGCACGUCUGCCCUCUGACAGAGAUCUGUUGCCUACCACCAUCUGAUUCAGCCUCAACAUAAUGUGCAAUGUAAGGACAUUUGUGCCACAGCUUCGCUCUGUUGACCAGGUACCUUGACUAACAGAACAGGUGCCCUUUAGUGUUGGGCUGCCAGUGAACAGAUGCACAAUGGGGAUGUCAGUAAGAUGCAGAAGCAAGGUGGAGAAUGGAAGAAUAAUCUGCAACACACAAGUAUUUCAGGGUGGUGGCACUUGUGCUCUGAAGUAAGAGGCACGUAAAAUGGAGAAGGCCUGUUUUACAUGGGUGGCUUCAACGGAAAUACUUCUGAGCUACUCCAGUGCUAGUGUCAUGAGUCACCAUCUCAUUAAAUGCUUCAGAAGAGCCUGCAGCGUGAAAUAGUUGUUCAUCAUUGCCACAGGAUAAGCAUAUCCACAUCUUGAACAAUAAGAGAAAGAAGAGGAGAUGUAGUUGAUUCAAGUUCCCUGCCUAGGGGGAAAACGAGAGUCUCAACCUUUCCCGUACUGAAGUGGGCUCAGCAACAAAGCCACUUGGCAGCACUAAAUCUCAGCUCAAACUCAAUGAGCAGUGAUGAACCAACUUAAGCUGCUAUGGAGACAGCAAGUUUUGUUAGUCAGCCACAGCUGCCUCCUUGUUUCCCAGUACAUUAAAGCAUCCUCUUUUGAAACCAUAAUUUCCCCCCCUUAUUGAUGUUUUCCACACCUCUUUCUUUAAACUACUGACACUCACUCUGCCUCCAUAGCACCGACUACAAAAAUCUCUUUAUUAUCAAGAGUGUUUCAACAGAG